GACGAACGCUGGCGGCGUGCUUAACACAUGCAAGUCGAACGGAAAGGCCCUGCUUUUGUGGGGUGCUCGAGUGGCGAACGGGGGAGUAACACGUGAGUAACCUGCCCUUGACUUUGGGAUAACUUCAGGAAACUGGGGCUAAUACCGGAUAGGAGCUCCUGCUGCAUGGUGGGGGUGGGAAAGUUUCGGCGGUUGGGGAUGGACUCGCGGCUUAUCAGCUUGUUGGUGGGGUAGUGGCUUACCAAGGCUUUGACGGGUAGCCGGCCUGCGAGGGUGACCGGCCACAUUGGGACUGAGCUACGGCCCAGACUCCUACGGGAGGCAGCAGUGGGGAAUAUUGCACAAUGGGCGGAAGCCUGAUGCAGCAACGCCGCGUGCGGGAUGACGGCCUUCGGGUUGUAAACCGCUUUCGCCUGUGACGAAGCGUGAGUGACGGUAAUGGGUAAAGAAGCACCGGCUAACUACGUG
rnacentral:rRNA from 1 species